CCUACGGGAGGCUGCAGUGAGGAAUAUUGGUCAAUGGGCGCGAGCCUGAACCAGCCAAGUCGCGUGAGGGAGGACGGCCCUACGGGUUGUAAACCUCUUUUGCCGGGGAGCAACGGGCGUCACGUGUGGCGCCACUGAGAGUACCCGGAGAAAAAGCAUCGGCUAACUCCGUGCCAGCAGCCGCGGUAAUACGUAGGGGGCAAGCGUUAUCCGGAUUUACUGGGUGUAAAGGGAGCGUAGGCGGUUUAGCAAGUCAGAAGUGAAAGCCCGGGGCUCAACUCCGGGACUGCUUUUGAAACUGUUGAACUAGAUUGCAGGAGAGGUAAGUGGAAUUCCUAGUGUAGCGGUGAAAUGCGUAGAUAUUAGGAGGAACACCAGUGGCGAAGGCGGCUUACUGGACUGUAAAUGACGCUGAGGCUCGAAAGCGUGGGGAGCAAACAGGAUUAGAUACCCUAGUAGUC
rnacentral:rRNA from 1 species